CGGUAUAUACAACUCAGCGGUAGAGUGCUAGCCUAACAAGCUUGAAGCUCUGGGUUCAAUCCCCAAGGGCACUGA
rnacentral:tRNA from 1 species